ensembl:snRNA U6 U6 spliceosomal RNA
UUGCUCUCUUCAGCCACACAUACACUAAUAUUGGAAUGGUACUGAGAGGAUUAGCAUGUCCACCUUAUUCAAGGAUGACAUGUAAGUCUGUGAGGUAUACCAUAUUUUU